rnacentral:rRNA from 1 species
UACGUAGGGUGCAAGCGUUGUCCGGAAUUAUUGGGCGUAAAGAGCUCGUAGGCGGUUCGUCGCGUCGGCUGUGAAAACCCGGAGCUCAACUCCGGGCCUGCAGUCGAUACGGGCGGACUCGAGUUCGGCAGGGGAGACUGGAAUUCCUGGUGUAGCGGUGAAAUGCGUAGAUAUCGGGAGGAACACCUGUGGCGAAAGCGGCGCACUGGACCAUAACUGACGCUGAUGCGCGAAAGCUAGGGGAGCAAACAGG